rnacentral:lncRNA from 1 species
GCCAUGUUCACAUUCUUUGUCCUGCUUUGCCGUCUUCUGCUAUGAUUAUGAGGCCUCCCCAGCCAUGUGGAACUCCUCAUCACUCACUACAGAUGUUACUUUAAGACAUUCUGGAGCAGCAUCAUGUGCAGGUCAGUGAGUUUCCUGUUUCUUAUUUUGGAUGUUUCACUGAUGUUAAUUCAUCAACGUUGAAUUCAUGACCAACAGCACCAUAACUAGUGCCU